rnacentral:rRNA from 1 species
AACCCUUUGUUGUCCGACUCUGUUGCCUCCGGGGCGACCCUGCCUUCGGGCGGGGGCUCCGGGUGGACACUUCAAACUCUUGCGUAACUUUGCAGUCUGAGUAAACUUAAUUAAUAAAUUAAAACUUUUAACAACGGAUCUCUUGGUUCUGGCAUCGAUGAAGAACGCAGCGAAAUGCGAUAAGUAAUGUGAAUUGCAGAAUUCAGUGAAUCAUCGAAUCUUUGAACGCACAUUGCGCCCCCUGGUAUUCCGGGGGGCAUGCCUGUUCGAGCGUCAUUUCACCACUCAAGCCUCGCUUGGUAUUGGGCAUCGCGGUCCGCCGCGUGCCUCAAAUCGACCGGCUGGGUCUUCUGUCCCCUAAGCGUUGUGGAAACUAUUCGCUAAAGGGUGUUCGGGAGGCUACGCCGUAAAACAACCCCAUUUCUAAGGUUGACCUCGGAUCAGGUAGGGAUACCCGCUGAACUUAAGCAU